rnacentral:rRNA from 1 species
GACGAACGCUGGCGGCGUGCUUAACACAUGCAAGUCGAACGAAGAGCGACGGAAGCUUGCUUCUAUCAAUCUUAGUGGCGAACGGGUGAGUAACGCGUAAUCAACCUGCCCUUCAGAGGGGGACAACAGUUGGAAACGACUGCUAAUACCGCAUACGAUCUAACCUCGGCAUCGAGGAUAGAUGAAAGGUGGCCCCUACAUGUAAGCUAUCACUGAAGGAGGGGAUUGCGUCUGAUUAGCUAGUUGGAGGGGUAACGGCCCACCAAGGCGAUGAUCAGUAGCCGGUCUGAGAGGAUGAACGGCCACAUUGGGACUGAGACACGGCCCAGACUCCUACGGGAGGCAGCAGUGGGGAAUCUUCCGCAAUGGACGAAAGUCUGACGGAGCAACGCCGCGUGAGUGAUGACGGCCUUCGGGUUGUAAAGCUCUGUUAAUCGGGACGAAAGGCCUUCUUGCGAAUAGUGAGAAGGAUUGACGGUACCGGAAUAGAAAGCCACGGCUAACUACGUG